AACGUAGGACACAAGCGUUAUCCGGAGUUAUUGGGCGUAAAGGGCGCGUAGGCGGAUCAAUAAGUCUAUUCUGAAAGCUCCUGGCUAAACUGGGAGAGGCGAAUGGAGACUGUUGGUCUAGAGUGAGGAAGAGGAGAGUGGAAUUCCUGGUGUAGCGGUGAAAUGCGCAGAUAUCAGGAAGAACACCUAUGGCGAAGGCGGCUCUCUGGGACGGUACUGACGCUGAGACGCGAAAGCGUGGGGAGCGAACAGG
rnacentral:rRNA from 1 species